UGGGCAUUUUUGUACAUAGCAAUUAAAUGUAGUAUUUAAUCACUAGAUGGUAAUUCUUAUCAUUUACCAAUUAAUUCUAUCCUUUGGUAAAUUAAAACUUUUAUACAUUAACAUCGUAAUUAAACCCGAUAAUUUUAAAUUAGGGUUUUCUAUAAAAAAUUAGGGUUUUCUAAUUAGGGUUUCUUAACGCCAUCAAUUAGGGUUUCUAAUUGACCAUUAGGGUUCUCUAAUUAUCUGUGUAUGUUCUAACACAGUCAUUACGAUCUCUAACUUCAACCGAUUAGGGUUGUAAUAAUUAGGGUUUGUCCUAAUUAUCGACAUACAACAGUAAUUAGGGUUUUCUUCUAAUUACCGACAUCUUAUACACAGUAACCUUCAUAUACACAGUCACUACUCAGUCAUAUCUCGUAACUGAGUUUAAUAAUUAGGGUUUCACAGCACGGUAAUAUGCUAUGACCUAAUUGACUGUCAUUGCUCAAUAUUAUCUGUCCGCACAUACACAGUACAUAAUUAUUGUACUGUAAAAUCAUUAUAAUAAUAAUAUAAUAUUAUUAUUCUCAUCUCUUGAUCACAAUCCCAAUUCAGGGUUUGAAUCUCAUAUCUGACUUCUCUUCGUACACAACAUCGAUUAUCAAGCUAAAAUAAUUAACUUAAAUAUUCUGAACAAAUCAUAUAAUAAAAUAUUUAUUAUAUAAUUCUAAUUAUCA
rnacentral:lncRNA from 1 species